CAGGGUGAAGGCGGCGCUGGCCGAGGAGCAGGACCCCGAGCGGCGCCAGGUGCUGGACGGGCGGCAGCUGGCGCUGAAGGUCAGCGCCAACAGCGUGUACGGGUUCACCGGGGCACAGGCGGGGAGGCUGCCAUGUCUGGAGAUAUCACAGAGCGUGACGGGUUUCGGGCGGCAGAUGAUCGAGAGAACCAAGCAGCUGGUGGAGAGCCAGUACCCGGACGUGCAGGU